GGAAGGCGUUAAGGUUAAUAACCUUGGCGAUUGACGUUACCCGCAGAAGAAGCACCGGCUAACUCUGUGCCAGCAGCCGCGGUAAUACGGAGGGUGCAAGCGUUAAUCGGAAUUACUGGGCGUAAAGCGCACGCAGGCGGUCUGUCAAGUCGGAUGUGAAAUCCCCGGGCUCAACCUGGGAACUGCAUUCGAAACUGGCAGGCUAGAGUCUUGUAGAGGGGGGUAGAAUUCCAGGUGUAGCGGUGAAAUGCGUAGAGAUCUGGAGGAAUACCGGUGGCGAAGGCGGCCC
rnacentral:rRNA from 1 species